UACGAGAGGCCCAACCGUUAUUCGGAAUUACUGGGCUUAAAGAGUUCGUAGGCGGCGCGGAAAGUGGGGUGUGAAAGCCCUCGGCUCAACCGAGGAAUUGCGCUCCAAACUACCGUGCUUGAGGAAGCUAGAGGUGAGCGGAACUGAUGGUGGAGCGGUGAAAUGCGUUGAUAUCAUCAGGAACACCGGAGGCGAAGGCGGCUCACUGGGGCUUUUCUGACGCUGAGGAACGAAAGCCAGGGUAGCGAACGGG
rnacentral:rRNA from 1 species